rnacentral:lncRNA from 1 species
GAAGGGAAGAGGUUGCAGUGGCACUCGUGCUUGCCGGAGGCGCUUGUUCUUCACUUGCUGCAGAAGCUUGAGGGAACGAGGAGGAGCAGCAGCAGAUUGGAGACGAGGAGGAGGUGCAGCAGCUUGGAGACGAGGAGGAGCAGCAGUAGUGGAUCGGGAGCAGGGGCAGCAGCAGCUUCGGUGGCGCGCCGCCACGCUGGCCUGGCUGCGGCGGCGGCCGGAGGUGGAGCAGGAGGUUAGGGGAAGGGAGAGGGAAUGCCAU